GCGGACGUGGCGAAACCGGUAGACGCACGGGACUUAAAAUCCUGGGCCGCAAGGCGUGCGGGUUCGACUCCCGCCGUCCGCACCA
rnacentral:tRNA from 1 species